UAUAUACUCCCUCAAUCCCAAAAUUCUUGUCUUAGAUUUGUCUAGAUACGGAUGUAUAUGAUACAUCCAUAUCUAGACAAAUCUAAGACAAGAAUUUUGGGAUGGAGGGAGUACUUG
rnacentral:pre_miRNA from 1 species